GGGGGCGUCGCCAAGUGGUUAAGGCCGUCCGCUCAUAACGGAUUUACCGCAGGUUCGAAUCCUGCCGCCCCCA
rnacentral:tRNA from 1 species